rnacentral:rRNA from 1 species
ACACUCCUACGGGAGGCAGCAGUGGGGAAUUUUGGACAAUGGGGGCAACCCUGAUCCAGCAAUGCCGCGUGAGUGAAGAAGGCCUUCGGGUUGUAAAGCUCUUUUGUCAGGGAAGAAACGGUGGUGGCGAAUAACUACUACUAAUGACGGUACCUGAAGAAUAAGCACCGGCUAACUACGUGCCAGCAGCCGCGGUAAUACGUAGGGUGCAAGCGUUAAUCGGAAUUACUGGGCGUAAAGCGUGCGCAGGCGGUUGUGUAAGUCAGAUGUGAAAUCCCCGGGCUCAACCUGGGAAUUGCAUUUGAGACUGCACGGCUAGAGUGUGUCAGAGGGGGGUAGAAUUCCACGUGUAGCAGUGAAAUGCGUAGAUAUGUGGAGGAAUACCGAUGGCGAAGGCAGCCCCCUGGGAUAACACUGACGCUCAUGCACGAAAGCGUGGGGAGCAAACAGGAUUAGAUACCCCUGUAGUCCCAUGA